rnacentral:rRNA from 1 species
ACGGGUGAGUAACGCGUGGGAACGUGCCCUUCGGUUCGGAAUAACUCAGGGAAACUUGAGCUAAUACCGGAUACGCCCUUUUGGGGAAAGGCUUGACUGCCGAAGGAUCGGCCCGCGUCUGAUUAGCUGGUUGGUGAGGUUAUGGCUCACCAAGGCGACGAUCAGUAGCUGGUCUGAGGGGAUGAUCAGCCACACUGGGACUGAGACACGGCCCAGACUCCUACGGGAGGCAGCAGUGGGGAAUAUUGGACAAUGGGGGCAACCCUGAUCCAGCCAUGCCGCGUGAGUGAUGACGGCCUUAGGGUUGUAAGGCUCUUUUCUCCGGGACGAUAAUGACGGUACCGGAGGAAUAAGCCCCGGCUAACUUCGUGCCAGCAGCCGCGGUAAUACGAAGGGGGCUAGCGUUGCUCGGAAUCACUGGGCGUAAAGGGCGCGUAGGCGGCUGAUUUAGUCGAGGGUGAAAGCCCGUGGCUCAACCACGGAAUGGCCUUCGAUACUGAUUGGCUUGAGACCGGAAGAGGACAGCGGAACUGCGAGUGUAGAGGUGAAAUUCGUAGA